rnacentral:rRNA from 1 species
UAUGCCUACGGGGGGCAGCAGUGGGGAAUAUUGCACAAUGGGGGAAACCCUGAUGCAGCGACGCCGCGUGAGUGAAGAAGUAAUUCGUUACGUAAAGCUCUAUCAGCAGGGAAGAAACACUGACCUUACGGUCAGCAGACGGUACCUGAGUAAGAAGCCCCGGCUAACUACGUGCCAGCAGCCGCGGUAAUACGUAGGGGGCAAGCGUUAUCCGGAUUUACUGGGUGUAAAGGGUGCGUAGGUGGCAGGGCAAGUCAGAUGUGAAAGCCCGGGGCCCAACCCCGGUACUGCAUUUGAAACUGUCC